rnacentral:rRNA from 1 species
UGGGGAAUUUUGGACAAUGGGGGCAACCCUGAUCCAGCAAUGCCGCGUGUGUGAAGAAGGCCUUCGGGUUGUAAAGCACUUUUGUCCGGGAAGAAAUCGCACCUGAUAAUACCGGGUGUGGAUGACGGUACCGGAAGAAUAAGGACCGGCUAACUACGUGCCAGCAGCCGCGGUAAUACGUAGGGUCCAAGCGUUAAUCGGAAUUACUGGGCGUAAAGCGUGCGCAGGCGGUUGUGCAAGACCGAUGUGAAAUCCCCGGGCUUAACCUGGGAAUUGCAUUGGUGACUGCACGGCUAGAGUGUGUCAGAGGUGGGUAGAAUUCCACGUGUAGCAGUGAAAUGCGUAGAGAUGUGGAGGAAUACCGAUGGCGAAGGCAGCCCCCUGGGAUAACACUGACGCUCAUGCACGAAAGCGUGGGGAGCAAACAGG